rnacentral:rRNA from 1 species
UACAGAGGGUGCAAGCGUUGUUCGGAAUUAUUGGGCGUAAAGCGCGUGUAGGCGGCUUUGCAAGUCGGGUGUGAAAGCCCUCAGCUCAACUGAGGAAGUGCGCCCGAAACUGCAGAGCUUGAGUACCGGAGAGGGUGGCGGAAUUCCCGGUGUAGAGGUGAAAUUCGUAGAUAUCGGGAGGAACACCAGUGGCGAAGGCGGCGACCUGGGCCAAUAUUGACGCUGAGGUGCGAAAGCGUGGGGAGCAGACAGG